rnacentral:rRNA from 1 species
AGAGUUUGAUCCUGGCUCAGGAUGAACGCUGGCGGCGUGCCUAACACAUGCAAGUCGAACGAAGCAUUUACGGAUGACCCCUUCGGGGGGAUUUUGUUUAUGACUGAGUGGCGGACGGGUGAGUAACGCGUGGGGAACCUGCCUCUGCCAGGGGGAUAACAGUUAGAAAUGACUGCUAAUACCGCAUAAGCGCACAGAACCGCAUGGUUCGGUGUGAAAAGCCGAGACGGACAGAGAUGGACCCGCGUCUGAUUAGGUAGUUGGUGAGGUAACGGCCCACCAAGCCGACGAUCAGUAGCCGACCUGAGAGGGUGACCGGCCACAUUGGGACUGAGACACGGCCCAAACUCCUACGGGAGGCAGCAGUGGGGAAUAUUGCACAAUGGGGGAAACCCUGAUGCAGCGACGCCGCGUGAAGGAAGAAGUAUUUCGGUACGUAAACUUCUAUCAGCAGGGAAGAAAAUGACGGUACCUGACUAAGAAGCUCCGGCUAAAUACGUGCCAGCAGCCGCGGUAAUACGUAUGGAGCAAGCGUUAUCCGGAUUUACUGGGUGUAAAGGGAGCGUAGGCGGCGAUGCAAGUCAGAGGUGAAAGCCCGGGGCUCAACUCCGGGACUGCCUUUGAAACUGUAUGGCUGGAUUGCAGGAGAGGUAAGUGGAAUUCCUAGUGUAGCGGUGAAAUGCGUAGAUAUUAGGAGGAACACCAGUGGCGAAGGCGGCUUACUGGACUGUAAAUGACGCUGAGGCUCGAAAGCGUGGGGAGCAAACAGGAUUAGAUACCCUGGUAGUCCACGCGGUAAA